AUACGUAGGGGGCGAGCGUUGUCCGGAAUGACUGGGCGUAAAGGGCGCGUAGGCGGCGCGAUAAGUUGGAUGUGAAAUACCCGUGCUUAACAUGGGCAUUGCAUUUAAGACUGUCGUGCUGGAGUGCAGGAGAGGAAAGCGGAAUUCCCAGUGUAGCGGUGAAAUGCGUAGAGAUUGGGAGGAACACCAGUGGCGAAGGCGGCUUUCUGGACUGUAACUGACGCUGAGGCUCGAAAGCGUGGGGAGC
rnacentral:rRNA from 1 species